rnacentral:lncRNA from 1 species
GGUAAAGCGGGGAAAGGGGAUAACGUUUGAAAUGUAAAUAAAGAAAAUAUCUAAUUAAAAAAAAGAAAAAAAAAUAAAGAAAGCAAGCACAUCAAGAAGCUGGGAGAGAAAUGUUACUGUUCACUAUCAGAAUAUCUGUCCUUAGGAACACACACACACACAUAUACACUCACACUCUCUCACCCACACACACUCACACACACACACACACACACACACACUCACACACACACUCACACACUCACACACACAAACUCUCACACAUACUCACUCACACACAUGCACUCACACACACACUCACACUCUCACACACACACACAUACACACUCACACUCUCACACACACACUCAUUUUCACAUACACACAAACUCUCACACUUACACACACAUACUCACACACUCGCACUCACACUCUCACACUCAUACGCACUCACACUCUCAUACACACACACACUGUCACACUCACACACACAUACACACACACAUCUUUUUAGCUUAGUGCAUGUUUGUAAUAUCUAGUACUAGAGGAAGCAAAGACAGAAAGAUCUCAAGUUUAGGGCCUUGCCAGGCUAUAUAAUGAGACCAUGUCUUUAAAAAACAAAAGAAAUAAGGAAGCUGAGAGAUAAAUUUGUUUAGUAGAUGUUGACAAGAGUUAAAUUAGUAGAUCUUUAUAUUUCAAAUUUUAUACAUAGAAUUGGUCUGGAACCAUUGAGACUUUUCUUUUGUUACUUCAGUACAUAAAACAAACAAACAAACAAACAAACAAAGAUAUCAUUGAAUGUUUUUAGAUGGUGCAAUAUACUUUCAUGCAUGCUUCAUGUUAGCCCCAAAAGUUGCAGUAUUGAAAAAUAUGUAAUGCACAUUUGCAAUACAUUUAUUUUGUUAGUUCAGAAUGGAGACCCAUUAUGUGGGCUCCCAGUUAAGAUGGGCUAGGGAAGAGAGAAUAAUGCCUGUUACACCAGUUUCUCUCUUUUCCAAGCCUCUUGUUAGGUUCUUCCCCUAGCUGAACCUAUACCACGUGCUCAUCCCUCUCUAUAGAGGAAUCUAGGAAGAUAGGAAGAAUUUUCAUCAGUUUAGGUGAACCAAAGUCCUCUAUCUGGUGCUGUGUGUCCUGACAAAAAAGGGAGUCCUGUUUGUAAAAAGGAAUGAGAGGUGGGUAUUUAAAGAGACCAUGGGGGGCUGGAAAGAUGACUUGGCAGUUAAGAGUGCCAGAAUGUACUUUCCCAGAGGAACCAAGUUUGAAUUUCAGAACCCUACCCCAAUCACAUAGCUCACAUUUGCGUAUAACUACAGCUCCAGGGGAUCUCUUCUGGCCUCUGAGACCAUUGUACUUAAGUGCACAAAUCCACACAGACAUACGCAUAUGCAUUUGUAUAACUUU